rnacentral:lncRNA from 1 species
CCAACUUUAACCCGUUGGCAGAGGGCCUGUUAUUUUUUGGAUGCUAGCUCCAGGGUGUCGACUGGCCUCUAUUUCUAGAGGUGGUCAUAGCUAUCUGAGAAUUCAUAAAUCAUAUUCUUUUUCUUUUAUAAAUCAUAAUCAUCAUAAAUAGGUUGGAAAAUGAUAAAUGACAUCAUAUAAUAAAUGCAUAAACAUGUCUCAAAUAUCAUUUUUCAUGCAGUCUAGCAUAAUCAUAAUUUCAUAACUCAUACACCAUCAAAUAUUCAUGAAGAAUGCUCUUUAAUCAAAUUCAUGAAUCACAUGCAAUCAUAUACUUGAUC